UCCUGGCAGACCUGUGGUAACUGUGAAGAUGGCUUUGCCUAUUGUAACUUAAGGUGUGUGGCAGAGGCUUGAGAGGUAGGGGUGAAUCACUGUCGUCUAGAGAAUAGCUGUCCCGAUGGUUGGCACAGCUAACCAUCCGCCCUGAGAUGGCAGUGCUGUGCUGUCUAACCAUCCACCCUGAGACAGCAAUGCUGUGCUGUCUAACCAUCCACCCUGAGACAGCAAUGCUGUGCUGUCUAACCAUCCACCCUGAGACAGCAAUGCUGUGCUGUCUAACCAUCCACCCUGAGACGGCAAUGCUGUGCUGUCUAACCAUCCACCCUGAGACAGCAGUGCUGUGCUGUCUAACCAUCCACCCUGAGACGGCAGUGCUGUGCUGUCUAACCAUCCACCCUGAGACGGCGGUGCUGUGCUGUCUAACCAUCCACCCUGAGACAGCAAUGCUGUGCUGUCUAACCAUCCAUCCUGAGACUGUGCUGUGCGGUGCUGUGCUGUGGUGGUGAAGCCUGCCGAGGGAGAACACACCAGCAGCAUGGUGUGGGGUGAUUGUUACAGCCAAUCUGGGAAGUGCUGUUUGUCUUGGUUGUCCAAUCACCACAUUGUCAGCUGCAGUGUAUGAUCUUAUAUAAAACAAGACUGUAGGAUACAUGUAAAAAAUCCACAAAUAAAAAAAGACUUGUUAAUUGC
rnacentral:lncRNA from 1 species